UCUUUUGUUUUCAUAUGAGGCAUCUCUUGGGUGUAUUUUGAGGUGUCUAAUUAUGGAUGCAAGAGCUCCAAUUGUUAGCGCCUAAUGGGCUUCCUAAUGUAAGUUGGAUAACUUAAAUUAAUAUGAAUCCUAAUGCAAGUAGGACUUAUAUUAUGAGAUUGAAUAGGAUUCAAUCUUUAUGCCUAUUUAAAGAGACCUCCCCUA
rnacentral:lncRNA from 1 species